UACGUAGGGGGCUAGCGUUGCUCGGAAUCACUGGGCGUAAAGGGUGCGUAGGCGGGUCUUUAAGUCAGGGGUGAAAUCCUGGAGCUCAACUCCAGAACUGCCUUUGAUACUGAGGAUCUUGAGUACGGGAGAGGUGAGUGGAACUGCGAGUGUAGAGGUGAAAUUCGUAGAUAUUCGCAAGAACACCAGUGGCGAAGGCGGCUCACUGGCCCGUAACUGACGCUGAGGCACGAAAGCGUGGGGAGCAAACAGG
rnacentral:rRNA from 1 species